rnacentral:rRNA from 1 species
UACGUAGGGUGCAAGCGUUGUCCGGAAUUAUUGGGCGUAAAGAGCGUGUAGGCGGCCCGAUCAGUCCGCCGUGAAAGCCCAGGGCUCAACCCUGGGAUGCCGGUGGAUACUGUCGGGCUAGAAUCCGGAAGAGGCGAGUGGAAUUCCGUGGUGUAGCGGUGAAAUGCGCAGAUAUCAGGAGGAACACCGGUGGCGAAGGCGGGUCUCUGGGCCAUUACUGACGCUGAGGAGCGAAAGCGUGGGGAGCGAACAGG